rnacentral:misc_RNA from 1 species
AAAAAAAAAUUCAAUUUAAUAAUAUUAAAAUAUUCAAAACCCUAUUGAAAGUUAAAAAAACAAAUUACAAGUGGCUAUUAUUAUUAGAAUUCAUUUAUGUAUCAAAAUGUUAGAAAGAAAUUCAACUAUAUCUUCUUUUUAGGGAGAUUGAGGAGUGAAGACUCAAAUCUGGCACUUGUCAGAUGAGUGAUACGUCUUUACUCACUGCACUAAAACAAACUAAGCAAUUCAACUAUAUCUAAUAGGAGUGAUCUUUAUUAUUUUAAUGAUUUAAUUAGCUUUAUAUAUAACUAAAACACGUUCUUUCAGUAUUAUUACUAUUAGCUAUCCACACCUUUUUUUGCUUUUUUUUUAGUCCAAUU